rnacentral:lncRNA from 1 species
GCACAACCGAAUGUUUUAGUUGUUGCGCAAAUCUUUAUAUAUAAAAGUGAAGUUGUGUAUCUGUCUCCUACGAUUUAGAUUCCUAACUACUCCCACAUUUUGCGCUGCAGUGUAACCAAAACCGGGUAUCUUAUAGUCGUGAUUCAUAUCCAGCCCUUCUGGGUAUUAGCGCACGUCUACGGUGAGUCUACGAUUUAAAAAAAAAAUUAUCCAUCAUUUUUUAUUCCAUUUUAAUGCAUUUUUCGCUAUUGUAUAAGGGAAGUAACUCUCUAAAAAUGUCUACGAUGAGUCAACGAUUUAAAAAAGAAAUUACCAUCAUUUUUUAUUCCAUUUUUAAUGCAUUUUUUUUUCUAUAACUCUCUAAAAAUGCUUAUAUAGUUAUUUCCCUUACAAACCCGAGCAACGCCGGGCGAUACUGCUAGUUGUAAUAUAAGUAAUGUUACACAAUCUGAAGACGUAUCUGUAGUGUGUAAAUAUGUAAAUUUUAUAUGGUGUAAUUUUAGUGACUAAUUAAAAUGUAAAGUUUAUUUGUUGAGGUAAAGGUUUAUUAGCGUAUAAUGUAAGAACCAUUGUAAAAUUUCUCUGUUGGAUAUCUUCUUUUUAAUUAUCUUUGAUAUCUUACACAAUUUCUCUCUCAUUUCAGAUUACAAGAUGGCAUUGGCAUUAAAGAAUAUUUUUGCAUCAGAUACAUCACAGAUAUUUAUCACAUUUUAAAGUGUACAGGAAAAUAUUCUACCUAAGAACUAAGAAGUAGUUCUUCUGAGUGAAACAUUUCUCUCCUUCAUUGCCUGGAAUAUGUACAAGACGAUUUUGUAUACCAAUUAACUGUUGAGACAUUUCCAAAGGGGGUUCGCAAUCCUUUUCUGAUAAUGAUAAAAGUUGAUGGAAAUAUUACUGUUGAAAUGUUUUGAUCAACAUAGGAAUAAAUAAAAAGAAAAGGAGAAAAAUAUCCAUAUAUUAUUGUGAGAAAAAAU